UCCUCAAUAGCUCAGUGGUAGAGCGGAUGGCUGUUAACCAUUAAGUCGUUGGUUCAAUCCCAACUUGGGGAG
rnacentral:tRNA from 1 species